AACAAAUUGGGGAACUGGUAAAGGAAACCUAGAUCCAAGCGGUAAAACAAGACCUUCCUGCUCCUCCUCUCUCACCCGGCGGUGGCUCCCUACCCCUGCCUGCGCAUGCCUCUUCCUCCUUCUGACAGCGGCAGCGGUGAGCAUGAGAGCGGCGGAAGUGGCUGGACACCAUAAGCUGCCCGAGGUGGUCUACGGCGAGGAACGACCGCGCCCGACGCCGUCCUCCAACCCAUACUUCCCAACCCGGUGCAUGCCCAAGGAUUCCAGCGCACCUUGAAGGAAGGACCAAGGCCUGGGACUACUUGUCCUCUUCUUCCUCUAACAUCUCCCUGCCAGCUGCUGCUUAUUAGUAGGGAGGGAGGGAGGGAGGGAGCGAAAAAGAUAGAUGGCGGCGGCGGCUGGACCUGGCUGAGUUGUUUGGGGAGUUGCGCACACGUCGAGCGACGGUGAGCGCAUCCGACGCCGAUACACCGAGAGUCCUCAUCUCCCUAUCUGUGUCCCUCAGUUUUCUAUUGGCCAAAACAAAAGAUUCAAUCUAUUGUUGAAAGACCAACUUGUCCGCAAAAUACCUUGCAAACUGCAGCACGUUGAGCUAGGAGGUCUGUGCGAGUUAGAGGUUAUAUGAGACAAGGGCUUGGUCCUAUUAAAUGGAAGGGCCAUAAUUAUUAGUCCAAGUGAUAUUGAAGUUACAUUUGAGAAUUUUCCCUACUACCUUAGCGAGAAUACGAAGGAUGUCCUCUUAUCAUGUUCAUUCCUACAUUUGGAAAAGAAGGGAUUCAUUGAGUAGUUCUCGGAAGUUUCUUCAAUAAACCAGCGAAUUUAUCAUCUGGUCCAUCAGGAUUGCAACCGGAGGAGCCGGAGAACACGACCCCUGUCCUAUGUGCGACCAUAUCCCCCAUGGCUCCUACAAGGAACAUAUCGGCCACAGUUUUUUAGGGAACUCUUUUGAAAGGCAUGUGUGUACAGAACACAUGUUUCAUCGUCUUCUCUUUUUUUCAUGAGUUGUUGAACAGAUCUUAUGAAGCUUGAUUGAUAGUGUUUCAACUCAGAUGAAGUGUUUUGGAUGAUCAGUUUUGCAGAUCCUGGAGAUCAUUAUACCUUUUGUACAAUGCACUGUUCGGGAGUGUUGCAUGCCUUUGUAUUGUGUUCCUGAA